UACGUAGGGUGCAAGCGUUAAUCGGAAUUACUGGGCGUAAAGCGUGCGCAGGCGGUGAUGUAAGACAGUUGUGAAAUCCCCGGGCUCAACCUGGGAACUGCAUUUGUGACUGCAUCGCUGGAGUGCGGCAGAGGGGGAUGGAAUUCCGCGUGUAGCAGUGAAAUGCGUAGAUAUGCGGAGGAACACCGAUGGCGAAGGCAAUCCCCUGGGCCUGCACUGACGCUCAUGCACGAAAGCGUGGGGAGCAAAAGGG
rnacentral:rRNA from 1 species